CAACUCUUAGCGGUAGAUCACUUGGCUCGUGCGUCGAUGAAGAACGCAGCUAGCUGCGAGAAUUAAUGUGAAUUGCAGGACACAUUGAUCAU
rnacentral:rRNA from 1 species